UACGAAGGGGGCUAGCGUUGCUCGGAAUCACUGGGCGUAAAGCGCACGUAGGCGGAUUGUUAAGUCAGGGGUGAAAUCCUGGAGCUCAACUCCAGAACUGCCUUUGAUACUGGCGAUCUUGAGUCCGGGAGAGGUGAGUGGAACUCCGAGUGUAGAGGUGAAAUUCGUAGAUAUUCGGAAGAACACCAGUGGCGAAGGCGGCUCACUGGCCCGGUACUGACGCUGAGGUGCGAAAGCGUGGGAGCAACAG
rnacentral:rRNA from 1 species